rnacentral:lncRNA from 1 species
GGAGUAAAAUGAAAAUACUGAUAGAGAAGCCUGGAUUUCCCUAACCAUCAAGAACCUCCUACGACCAUGGCAUGGAUGAACCUAGAAGCUAGAAGCUAGUGUAGCUUUCAUCAUCGAGGACUUUGCUAAGUAUUUUCAAAAGCACGACCAUUCCUUGCCAACCAUGCAGCAGGCAAUAUAAGUACUGCAUCAUUCUUGUUCUUUCCUCGUUAUGCCCUCUCCUUUAGAUAAAGAAAGGUGUCCAGCA